GGAAAGAAAAAAAAAGGGGGCUGAAAACAAGAGCGAGUACGCACUAGGAGGAGAAACCCCGGAGUCUAAUUCAACAGCAAACAUGCUGGAGGCAGUCUUACUGCCGCAUAGCGACUGUUUAUUAUCUAUUGUUAUCUAUCAAAAGUCUCCUGCGGGGGAUCAUAAAAGUCGCCUUGCAGAUACCGCGUCUCCUUUCCGUCUGAAGAUACUAUCUGCAUAUCUUGUCCAGACUUUUUUUUUUUUUUUUUUUUUAAACUCUGGCCAAAAGAAAACAAAAACAACCGGCUGAACUCACCACGGUCACCGGGGACACCAUGUUUGCCGAGGCGGCUUCUAUAGGACGCCGUGACGUCAUAAUGCUCGGAGCGAAUGUGCAGCGAGGGAAGAGAGAAGGGGGGGGGCGGUCCUGCAGCGAAUACGUCUCCGCCCCGCUCUCCUCCUACGAAGGGCUGCACUCGCUUGGGGCAUCUGACAAUCUGGUUUCAGCUUUCUAAUAGUCUACUGAAAUUGCCCUGGCAAAGAAUUUUGUCAUGGCACCUGUCCUUUGGAAUAACAUUUCCCCUCCAGAGAUUGGACCACCUGAAACUCUGGACAUUUUAAAACAAGUGUGGUAUAUUUUCCAAGCUUUAGGAUAAAUUGGUGCUGUGCCUGUCAGUAUGUAGUUUGCCUUGGUUAUAUUUGUUCCACCUAUGUUCUGCUCUAUGAUGUUAUUUGCCUGUUUUUAGGCAUUAUAUCAGUUUUAAUUGUAUGCCACCUAAUCUGUGCUGAGUUGGGCCACCUUUAUAAAGCUAUAUGAUAAAUAAAUAGCUUUUUGCGUCAAAUUAAAGUA